CCUACGGGAGGCAGCAGUAGGGAAUCUUCCACAAUGGGCGAAAGCCUGAUGGAGCACCGCCGCGUGGGUGAAGAAGGUCUUCGGAUCGUAAAACCCUGUUGUUAGAGAAGAAAGUGCGUGAGAGUAACUGUUCACGUUUCGACGGUAUCUAACCAGAAAGCCACGGCUAACUACGUCCCAGCGGCCGCGGGAAUCCGUAGGUGGCAAGCGUUAUCCGGAUUUAUUUGGCGUAAAGGGAACGCAGGCGGUCUUUUAAGUCUGAUGUGAAAGCCUUCGGGUUAACCGGAGUAGUGCAUUGGAAAAUGGGAGACUUGAGUGCAGAAGAGGAGAGUGGAACGGCAUGUGUAGCGGUGAAAUGCGUAGAGAUAUGGAAGAACACCAGUGGCGAAAGCGGCUCUCUGGUCUGUAACUGACGCUGAGGUUCGAAAGCGUGGGUAGCAAACAGGAUUAGAUACCCGAGUAGUC
rnacentral:rRNA from 1 species